GCUGUAUGCACAAAUACUUUUUUAUUUUUUUCUGGAGUGUUUGCCGCUUUUCAAAGGUUUUGUGAACCAUAAAAUGGUCUAACUAACUUGGUACCAGCUUUCCAGUCUAGGCCCACCUGGAUGUUUACUCCCAGCAAAUCUGGUUUCCAAGCUUAAGGGCUGUCAGCAUCCAUCCUGAUGAAGCACUCGCCUCUUCACUUUGAAAUUCUAACACCUAACCUGCUUCAGGGAGAUCUGAGAUCAGAUCAGCACAGUGGGUACAUCCUCUAUCCUUCUCCUCCUAGGCUGACCUCAGUUUCCCUGCAUCCAAAUGGAUCAGUGUCGGGUUACAGCUACACUCCAGGCUACUGGCAAUGUUCCCAGUGACAGCCUCAAAGGAGUGGGGACGGCUUUGAUUUCACUGCACUCCAAGGUCAGGGGAUUUAAACGGAGUUCUGGGGGCUGUAACAGCCCACAAUGUUGGAGCACUUUGAAAUGUGCAAAACGCGUUCGCAGAUCACGUCUCGCUGAAUACUCAACCCAGGCUCCAGAGACUCCGGGGUCACGUGACAUGCAUGUAGUCACACAGCUGCAACUACAGCCUGCAUUGAAGGCGAGGGAAUCCACGGUGAUGAAUUAGGCAUCUGUAGAUAUUUCUCCAGAGCUGCAUCUGUUAAACCCAAAGCAGGUCUUGGCUCCACUGAAAUCAAAUUCAACAUGAAAAGCCCUCAAUGUGGAGCCCUGGGGCACCCCCAGCCCAGAGCCACGCUGCAGCCUCCCCCUCAUCCCCGCUCCGUGGCACAUCGCACAUCACCUGGGCCACCUAUUCUGUAAAUUACUGUAAAAUUCUAGUAGAGAACUUAUCUUUUUUCCUAUCAAGAGAAUGACCUACAGAAUGAAAAAAUAAUUCAAUGGAGGAAGAUGAAGGUAAAAUGCAGCUUCAUUCAGGGAGCUUUUGGGAGAGAAAAAUAGAAAAUGCCUCUGUCAUUUGCUUUUAAAAAUCAAGAAUGGGGAGCAUGUAACUCUCUCCAGUAAAUACAACUAGUAAUAAAAAUGCUCUUUAGUUGUAUGCUGUGGCCGGUUCUUGGAGAGAGGCUAAAGAGGAAGGAGGAGGAAGGGGCUCAAGAAGUAGGACAGGGGGAGAGAAGCAGCCAGAAACAGGUGAC
rnacentral:lncRNA from 1 species